CGGGGUGGAGUAACGCGUGGGUAACCUGCCUUGUACAGGGGGAUAACAGUUGGAAAAGGCUGCUAAUACCGCAUAAGCGCACGGCAUCGCAUGAUGCAGUGUGAAAAACUCCGGUGGUAUAAGAUGGACCCGCGUUGGAUUAGCUAGUUGGUGAGGUAACGGCCCACCAAGGCGACGAUCCAUAGCCGACCUGAGAGGGUGACCGGCCACAUUGGGACUGAGACACGGCCCAA
rnacentral:rRNA from 1 species